rnacentral:rRNA from 1 species
UUCUUUCCUUUUCGCUUUUUUGGUCCGGCCCCGGGCCCCCCCUUUUGGGGUUUUUUAAACCUCUCAGGAUGAACGCUGGCGGCGUGCUUAACACAUGCAAGUCGAACGAUGAAGCCCAGCUUGCUGGGUGGAUUAGUGGCGAACGGGUGAGUAACACGUGAGUAACCUGCCCUUAACUCUGGGAUAAGCCUGGGAAACUGGGUCUAAUACCGGAUAGGAGCGUCCACCGCAUGGUGGGUGUUGGAAAGAUUUAUCGGUUUUGGAUGGACUCGCGGCCUAUCAGCUUGUUGGUGAGGUAAUGGCUCACCAAGGCGACGACGGGUAGCCGGCCUGAGAGGGUGACCGGCCACACUGGGACUGAGACACGGCCCAGACUCCUACGGGAGGCAGCAGUGGGGAAUAUUGCACAAUGGGCGCAAGCCUGAUGCAGCGACGCCGCGUGAGGGAUGACGGCCUUCGGGUUGUAAACCUCUUUCAGUAGGGAAGAAGCGAAAGUGACGGUACCUGCAGAAGAAGCACCGGCUAACUACGUGCCAGCAGCCGCGGUAAUACGUAGGGUGCGAGCGUUAUCCGGAAUUAUUGGGCGUAAAGAGCUCGUAGGCGGUUUGUCGCGUCUGUCGUGAAAGUCCGGGGCUUAACCCCGGAUCUGCGGUGGGUACGGGCAGACUAGAGUGCAGUAGGGGAGACUGGAAUUCCUGGUGUAGCGGUGGAAUGCGCAGAUAUCAGGAGGAACACCGAUGGCGAAGGCAGGUCUCUGGGCUGUAACUGACGCUGAGGAGCGAAAGCAUGGGGAGCGAACAGGAUUAGAUACCCUGGUAGUCCAUGCCGUAAACGUUGGGCACUAGGUGUGGGGACCAUUCCACGGUUUCCGCGCCGCAGCUAACGCAUUAAGUGCCCCGCCUGGAGACCGACUUU